rnacentral:rRNA from 1 species
UACGUAGGGGGCAAGCGUUGUCCGGAUUUAUUGGGCGUAAAGGGCUCGUAGGCGGCCAACUAAGUCGGACGUGAAAUCCCCAGGCUUAACUUGGGAACUGCGUCCGAUACUGGAUGGCUUGAAUCCGGGAGAGGGAUGCGGAAUUCCAGGUGUAGCGGUGAAAUGCGUAGAUAUCUGGAGGAACACCGGUGGCGAAGGCGGCAUCCUGGACCGGUAUUGACGCUGAGUGAGCGAAAGCCAGGGGAGCAAACGGG